AGGAUUGGUGACUCCUGCAGCAGAUGCAGCAGGCAUCUUGGGCUGCCCAAGCUUCCGCAGUGAACGUGUCCUGUUCCUGGUAAAGGUGUGGGUGUUCCUGGACACGAAGGUAUCUAUCUUCAUGCCUUGCCCAUGUGCCCAGUCCCCCACCAGAUGCUGUUCGCCUUCUGGCCCCCCUGAUUUGCUGCACUGCUGCGCCCUGAUCCUUGCAGAGGGGCUCUCAUUGGUCACCGGAAGCGCCGUCCCGCCCUUGUCAGCCUGUGAUUGGUCAUCGGCAGUGCCGUCCCGCCCUCGCCAGCCUGUGAUUGGUCAU